rnacentral:rRNA from 1 species
UCGUGCGAGAAGGAGGCUUCGGUCUCUGAGUAGAGCGGCGCACGGGUGAGUAACGCGUGGAUGAUCUACCCUUGAGUUCGGGAUAACGGUGCAAAAGCGCCGCUAAUACCGUAUAACAAUCCAUUUCAUCGUGGGUUCAAAGCAGGCCUCUUCAUGAAAGCUUGCGCUUGGGGAUGAGUCCGCGUCCCAUUAGCUUGUUGGCGGGGUAACGGCCCACCAAGGCAACGAUGGGUAGCUGGUCUGAGAGGAUGAUCAGCCACACUGGAACUGAAACACGGUCCAGACUCCUACGGGAGGCAGCAGUGGGGAAUAUUGCGCAACGGGGGAAACCCUGACGCAGCGACGUCGUGUGAGGGAAGAAGGCCUUCGGGUCGUAAACCUCUGUCAGAAGGGAAGAACAUCCGGGAGUCGAACAGCCUCCCGGCCUGACGGUACCUUCAGAGGAAGCGCCGGCUAACUCCGUGCCAGCAGCCGCGGUAAUACGGAGGGCGCAAGCGUUAAUCGGAAUCACUGGGCGUAAAGCGUGCGUAGGCUGCUUGAUAAGUCAGACGUGAAAUCCCUCGGCUCAACCGGGGAACUGCGUUUGAUACUGUCGAGCUAGAGUCCUGGAGAGGGUGGCGGAAUUCCUGGUGUAGGAGUGAAAUCCGUAGAUAUCAGGAGGAACACCGGUGGCGAAGGCGGCCACCUGGACAGGUACUGACGC